CAGUGAUAAUAGAGAAAAGCAACUAAAAACAAUGUUCUUUACUUGGGUCAGGUGCAUUUCAUCCACCAACUUGGAGUAAUGAGAUUACCACAAAUUGCCAGAUGGUCACAUCAAAUUUUUAGCAGCAUCGGUGAUAAUAGAAAAAGGCCUUCAAAAUAUCUCUUUAAUAAUCAGCACUUGCUAAUGCUGGUUUAGAAAAUAUCUGAGAUUAAUAAGCCAUGAUCUCAGGGCCCCUUUUAUAAUGUCUGGUCUAACGCACACAGCACAUAGGAUGUGAGACAAAAGUCUCACAUGGAAAUAGCCACUUCAACCUCUGUCCCAUGGUUAAUUCUAGUUCUGGCUUGAGUUCUACCAGUCAUGAAAUCAACUGAGCACAAGUGUGCAAAUGUAGCCAGCUCAGCCAAAACCCUGGGUCCUCAGCAUUAGAUAUAGAUUUGAGGGAAACCAGGUUGUAGCAUGUGAAUUUAUUUUGUAAUGUAACAUUAUACUAUUAUGAAAUGGAAAAAAUAAAAGUAUAAAGCCUCAACCAUUACAUAUUUUGCAAUUUGGGCUAUCUCCCAAUGUGUAAUUUGUUUGACUAACUUUAUUUUAAUGAAUAUUAAAUUCCCUCAAGUGCCCAUUACAUUUAAUUCAUUAAAGUCAUACAUACCCCAGAACAUUUAUCUAUCUCCAAAAGAAGGCAAAAAAUCCUCAAUAAAACAUGGAUCACAGUACAGGGAACAAAUUAGAAAUUUGCUGAUAAAAGUUUAGAGAUAUGCUGUAGUUUCACAGACUUUAGCAAUAAACUAAGACUUAAAACCUCAACUCAAAUUUAUUUAUUUUUGUGGUACUGGGGAUGGAACCCAAG
rnacentral:lncRNA from 1 species